GACGAACGCUGGCGGCGUGCCUAAUACAUGCAAGUAGAACGCUGAAGGAGGAGCUUGCUUCUCUGGAUGAGUUGCGAACGGGUGAGUAACGCGUAGGUAACCUGCCUGGUAGCGGGGGAUAACUAUUGGAAACGAUAGCUAAUACCGCAUAAGAGUAGAUGUUGCAUGACAUUUGCUUAAAAUGUGCAAUUGCAUCACUACCAGAUGGACCUGCGUUGUAUUAGCUAGUUGGUGGGGUAACGGCUCACCAAGGCGACGAUACAUAGCCGACCAGAGAGGGUGAGCGGCAAAGCUGGGACGGGGACACGGCCCAGACUCCUACGAGAGGCAGCAGGAGGGAAUCUUCGGCAAUGGAAGGAGUGCUGACCGAGCAACGCCGCGUGAGAGAAGAAUGUUGUCGGGUCGUAAAGCUCAGUUGUAAGAGAAGAACGAGUGUGAGAGUUGAAAGUUCACACUGUGACGGUAUCUUACCAGAAAGGGACGGCUAACUACGUG
rnacentral:rRNA from 1 species